CAGAUCCCACCAGAUCCCACCAGGCCCUGUCAACUCCCAUCAGAUCCCAUCUGAUCCCACCAGGCCCUAUCAGAUCCCACCAGAUCCCACCAGGCCCCACCAGAUCCCACCAGGCCCUAUCAGAUCCCACCAGGUCCCAUCAGGUCCCACCAGGCCCGAUCAGAUCCCACCAGAUCCCACCAGGUGCCAUCAGAUCCCAUCAGGUGUCACCAGGCCUUAUCAGAUCCCAUCAGUUCCCACCAGAUCCUAUCAGACCCCACCAGCCCCCACCAGAUCCCACCAGGCCCUAUCAGCUCCCAUCAGAUCCCACCAGAUCCCAUCAGCUCCCAUCAGAUCCCACCAGGCCCAGUCAGAUCCCACCAGGGAUCCCAUCAGGUGUCACCAGCCCCUAUCAACUCCCAUCAGAUCCCAC
ensembl:lncRNA